AUGGACCAGGGCGACGUCGCCGUGGCCGUGCCCCCCGCCGCCCCCUCCUCCUCCUGCGCCGGCGCCGGCUGCAAGAAGGGCAAGCGCUUCGAGAUCAAAAAGUGGAACGCCGUCGCGCUCUGGGCCUGGGAUAUUGUGGUCGACAACUGCGCCAUCUGCCGCAAUCACAUCAUGGACCUCUGCAUCGAGUGCCAGGCGAACCAGGCCAGCGCCACCAGCGAGGAGUGCACCGUGGCUUGGGGAGUUUGCAACCAUGCAUUCCACUUCCACUGCAUCAGCCGUUGGCUCAAGACCCGUCAAGUGUGCCCUCUAGACAACAGCGAGUGGGAGUUCCAGAAGUAUGGUCACUAA
rnacentral:rRNA from 1 species